UGCAGUCGAGCGCAGGAACCAGAUGACCCCUUCGGGGUGAUUCUGGCGGAAUGAGCGGCGGACGGGUGAGUAACACGUGGGCAACCUGCCUGUAAGACUGGGAUAACUUCGGGAAACCGGAGCUAAUACCGGAUAGUAUUUCCUUUCUCCUGAUUGGAAAUGGAAAGACGGUUUCGGCUGUCACUUACAGAUGGGCCCGCGGUGCAUUAGCUAGUUGGUGGGGUAAUGGCCCACCAAGGCGACGAUGCAUAGCCGACCUGAGAGGGUGAUCGGCCACACUGGGACUGAGACACGGCCCAGACUCCUACGGGAGGCAGCAGUAGGGAAUCUUCCGCAAUGGACGAAAGUCUGACGGAGCAACGCCGCGUGAGCGAUGAAGGCCUUCGGGUCGUAAAGCUCUGUUGUUAGGGAAGAACAAGUACGAGAGUAACUGCUCGUACCUUGACGGUACCUAACCAGAAAGCCCCGGCUAACUACGUGCCAGCAGCCGCGGUAAUACGUAGGGGGCAAGCGUUGUCCGGAAUUAUUGGGCGUAAAGGGCUCGUAGGCGGUUUCUUAAGUCUGAUGUGAAAGCCCACAGCUCAACUGUGGAGGGUCAUUGGAAACUGGGGAACUUGAGUGCAGAAGAGGAGAGUGGAAUUCCACGUGUAGCGGUGAAAUGCGUAGAUAUGUGGAGGAACACCAGUGGCGAAGGCGACUCUCUGGUCUGUAACUGACGCUGAGGAGCG
rnacentral:rRNA from 1 species